rnacentral:lncRNA from 1 species
AGAUCCCAAUUUCUGCCUUCCACCAUCCACAAAAGGAGAAGGAAUCAUCACCACCUUUCUGAUCCUCUAUGUCUCUCCUUGGCUUUUCUCAAUCCACCCACACACAAAAAAGAUGGGUUCCGCUGUCUCUGUUGGCACAGAAGACUAUUUCCCAGUAAAGGCAAGUCGUCCCUCUCAUAAACCAACAUCUUCUGCUUAGGCUUCCAUAUCUAUUAACUGCCAACGUUGGUUUGCUGUGUGUAGAGCUGCUGCAUGGUGAUGAGACUGAAUCUGGACUGCAACUCUUGCUGCAGGAAAGCAAGCAGGGUCAUCCACCAAAUCAAAGGUAUGCAUAACAAAAACCAAUCACCAAACACAAACAUAUGACCUUCGAUUGUUUAGGAUUUUUAAAAGAUCGAUGCUUUAAAAAGCAGGGGUGGAGACGCAUAUGAUAGAUAAGGAGCAGUGCGUGGUGACGGUGUGCGG